ACUGGUCGAGUCGGCCUGCGCGGAAGAUGUAACGGGGCUAAACCAUGCACCGAAGCUGCGGCAGCGACACUAUGUGUUGUUGGGUAGGGGAGCGUUCUGUAANACACAUGCAAGUCGAGCGGUAGCACAGAGAGCUUGCUCUCGGGUGACGAGCGGCGGACGGGUGAGUAAUGUCUGGGAAACUGCCUGAUGGAGGGGGAUAACUACUGGAAACGGUAGCUAAUACCGCAUAACGUCGCAAGACCAAAGUGGGGGACCUUCGGGCCUCAUGCCAUCAGAUGUGCCCAGAUGGGAUUAGCUAGUAGGUGGGGUAACGGCUCACCUAGGCGACGAUCCCUAGCUGGUCUGAGAGGAUGACCAGCCACACUGGAACUGAGACACGGUCCAGACUCCUACGGGAGGCAGCAGUGGGGAAUAUUGCACAAUGGGCGCAAGCCUGAUGCAGCCAUGCCGCGUGUGUGAAGAAGGCCUUCGGGUUGUAAAGCACUUUCAGCGGGGAGGAAGGCGGUGAGGUUAAUAACCUCAUCGAUUGACGUUACCCGCAGAAGAAGCACCGGCUAACUCCGUGCCAGCAGCCGCGGUAAUACGGAGGGUGCAAGCGUUAAUCGGAAUUACUGGGCGUAAAGCGCACGCAGGCGGUCUGUCAAGUCGGAUGUGAAAUCCCCGGGCUCAACCUGGGAACUGCAUUCGAAACUGGCAGGCUAGAGUCUUGUAGAGGGGGGUAGAAUUCCAGGUGUAGCGGUGAAAUGCGUAGAGAUCUGGAGGAAUACCGGUGGCGAAGGCGGCCCCCUGGACAAAGACUGACGCUCAGGUGCGAAAGCGUGGGGAGCAAACAGGAUUAGAUACCCUGGUAGUCCACGCCGUAAACGAUGUCGAUUUGGAGGUUGUGCCCUUGAGGCGUGGCUUCCGGAGCUAACGCGUUAAAUCGACCGCCUGGGGAGUACGGCCGCAAGGUUAAAACUCAAAUGAAUUGACGGGGGCCCGCACAAGCGGUGGAGCAUGUGGUUUAAUUCGAUGCAACGCGAAGAACCUUACCUGGUCUUGACAUCCACAGAACUUACCAGAGAUGCAUUGGUGCCUUCGGGAACUGUGAGACAGGUGCUGCAUGGCUGUCGUCAGCUCGUGUUGUGAAAUGUUGGGUUAAGUCCCGCAACGAGCGCAACCCUUAUCCUUUGUUGCCAGCGGUUAGGCCGGGAACUCAAAGGAGACUGCCAGUGAUAAACUGGAGGAAGGUGGGGAUGACGUCAAGUCAUCAUGGCCCUUACGACCAGGGCUACACACGUGCUACAAUGGCAUAUACAAAGAGAAGCGACCUCGCGAGAGCAAGCGGACCUCAUAAAGUAUGUCGUAGUCCGGAUUGGAGUCUGCAACUCGACUCCAUGAAGUCGGAAUCGCUAGUAAUCGUAGAUCAGAAUGCUACGGUGAAUACGUUCCCGGGCCUUGUACACACCGCCCGUCACACCAUGGGAGUGGGUUGCAAAAGAAGUAGGUAGCUUAACCUUCGGGAGGGCGCUUACCACUUUGUGAUUCAUGACUGGGGUGAAGUCGUAACAAGGUAACCGUAGGGGAACCUGCGGUUGGAUCACCU
rnacentral:rRNA from 1 species